GAUGAACGCUGGCGGCGUGCCUAAUACAUGCAAGUCGAGCGAACGGACGAGAAGCUUGCUUCUCUGAUGUUAGCGGCGGACGGGUGAGUAACACGUGGAUAACCUACCUAUAAGACUGGGAUAACUUCGGGAAACCGGAGCUAAUACCGGAUAAUAUUUUGAACCGCAUGGUUCAAAAGUAAAAGUCGGUCUUGCUGUCACUUAUAGAUGGAUCCGCGCUGCAUUAGCUAGUUGGUAAGGUAACGGCUUACCAAGGCAACGAUGCAUAGCCGACCUGAGAGGGUGAUCGGCCACACUGGAACUGAGACACGGUCCAGACUCCUACGGGAGGCAGCAGUAGGGAAUCUUCCGCAAUGGGCGAAAGCCUGACGGAGCAACGCCGCGUGAGUGAUGAAGGUCUUCGGAUCGUAAAACUCUGUUAUUAGGGAAGAACAUAUGUGUAAGUAACUGUGCACAUCUUGACGGUACCUAAUCAGAAAGCCACGGCUAACUACGUG
rnacentral:rRNA from 1 species